UAAGCGGAGGAAAAGAAACUAACUAGGAUUCCCUUAGUAACGGCGAGUGAACCGGGAUGAGCUCAAAUUUAAAAUCUGGCGUCUUUCAGGCGUCCGAGUUGUAAUCUAUAGAGGCGUUUUCCGCGCCGGACCGCGUCCAAGUCUCUUGGAAUAGAGUAUCAAAGAGGGUGACAAUCCCGUACUUGACGCGACAACCGGUGCUCUGUGAUACGUUCUCAAUGAGUCGAGUUGUUUGGGAAUGCAGCUCUAAAUGGGUGGUAAAUUCCAUCUAAGGCUAAAUAUUGGCGAGAGACCGAUAGCGAACAAGUACCGUGAGGGAAAGAUGAAAAGCACUUUGGAAAGAGAGUUAAACAGCACGUGAAAUUGUUAAAAGGGAAACGAUUGAAGUCAGUCGUGUGAAAGGUAUUCAGCCGUCUCUGGCGGUGUAUUUGCCUUUCACGGGUCAACAUCAGUUUGAUCCGGUAGAAAAAGGCGGGAGGAAGGUGGCACCCUCGGGUGUGUUAUAGCCUCCUGUCAUAUGUGCCGGACCAGACUGAGGAACGCAGCUUGCCGCAAGGCCGGGGUUCGCCCACGUACA
rnacentral:rRNA from 1 species